CUAAAGCCACUUGCUUACACCAAGUAAAUGUCCGUUCAACCCAGACCAUUUUGAGCCAAAAAUUUAGCCCACACAACACUGAUACUCUCUUAACCCACCCACCCUCAGACAAAACAUUCUUCUAUUUUAGUACAGGAGAUCAAAAAAUUACUAAGCGCUUCAAACACAGUACCGAAAGGGAAAAAUGAAAUAAAAAUGAAAUAAACCUCAAGCCCAAAAUAGCAGAGAUUUCUUCCCGUACCUUUUGCAUCAUGGUCUAGCCAGUCCCCAUAAGCAAAAAGAAAUUUUAGUUUACCACCCCGAAACUAAGUGAGCUACUUCAGAACAGCCUCAAGGGCCAACCCGUCUCUGUUACAAUAGAGUGGGAAGAUUCUCAAGUAGAGGUGACAAGCCUACCGAACUUAGAGAUAGCUGGUUACUCAAGAAAAGAGUCUUAGCUCUACCCUAAGCUACACUAUGAAACUGAACAAACUUUUUAACUUAGGAGCUAUUCAAGUAAGGCACAGCUUACUUGAAACAGGAUACAACCUCUAAUAUUGGGUAAACAUCGAUAUUAUUGCCUAAGUCGGCCUAAGAGCAGCCACCUUUUAAAAAGCGUCAAAGCUUAACCACCACAUAAUUUAAAUCCCUACUUAUUCCCUGAACCCCUCAUCCCUAUUGAGUAAUUUUAUACUUCUAUAAAAGCUAUAAUGCUAGAACUAGUAACAAGAAAAUGCCUUCUCCAAAAUGUAAGUAUAAACCAAAAUGGACACUCCAUUGGUAAUUAACGUAAAUGCACCCACUACAGCAACACAAGCAAGAAAACCCUGUCACCCCCAACGUUAACCUAACACUAGAACAUUCCAGGAAAGAUUAAAAGAGAAAGAAGGAACUCGGCAAACCUUAGCCCCGCCUGUUUACCAAAAACAUCGCCUCUUGAAAAAAAUAUAAGAGGUCCAGCCUGCCCAGUGACAAAGUUCAACGGCCGCGGUAUCCUAACCGUGCGAAGGUAGCAUAAUCACUUGUUCCUUAAAUAGGGACUAGUAUCAACGGCAUCACGAGGGCUGCACUGUCUCCUUUCUCCAAUCAGUGAAACUGAUCUCCCCGUGAAGAAGCGGGGAUUAUAAUAUAAGACGAGAAGACCCCAUGGAGCUUUAAGCAAUGAAUUUACCUAAUUGAAACUUCUUCUAAUUUCAAAAACCUAAGUUCUAGCUUUUGGCUGGGGGGACCGCGGAGUACAACUUAACCUCCGCAACUAACGGGCUUUGCCCUUAUCUAUGAGCCACAACUCUAAGAAUUAAUAAACUAAUGCCUUUGACCCGAAAACCUCGAUCAAUGGACCAAGUUACCCUGGGGAUAACAGCGCAAUCUACUUUAAGAGCCCCUAUCGACAAGUAGGCUUACGACCUCGAUGUUGGAUCAGGGUAUCCCAGUGGUGCAGCCGCUAC
rnacentral:rRNA from 1 species